rnacentral:rRNA from 1 species
UACGGAGGGGGCGAGCGUUGUCCGAAGUUACUGGGCGUAAAGGGCGCGUAGGCGGGAAGGUAAGUCCGCUGUCAAAGCCCGGGGCUUAACCCCGGAAGGGCGGUGGAGACUGGUUUUCUUGAAGCUGCCAGGGGGAGAUGGAAUUACCGGUGUAGCGGUGAAAUGCGUAGAUAUCGGUAGGAACACCAGUGGCGAAGGCGGUCUCCUGGAGCAGACUUGACGCUGAGGCGCGAAAGCUGGGGGAGCGAACGGG